UUUGUGUGCUUUCCCCUCUUGAAGAGACAA
rnacentral:piRNA from 1 species